rnacentral:rRNA from 1 species
GGCGACGACGGGGAUUCUAAUAAAUUCUUAUCCUUAUCAUUAAGGAAGGAGAGUCGUACAAGUUUCCGUAGGUGAACUGCGAAGGAUCAUUGCACACCCAAACUGCAAAGAAGCCAACCCAAACUGGGUCCGGUCUCUCGUGGCGCUCCUCGGGGGGCGCUGCGGGUGCCGGACUCUCUGAGAAUGCGAGUUUUACCUUCGAACAUUCUGAAGCUCUUCGGGUGGCUGCCGAGCGCUCCUCCGGGUGCGCCCCCUACUUGGGACGUCCUCCUCCUCUUCAAGGCUGCAUUCAGCUCCUCAGCCUGUCGCCCCCGGCCGGAACUUUGGCUCGCGGUGCUCGGUCUAGGCCGAAUCCACUUAGCGGUCACGGGACUGGAUCCGGGAUUAGWACCGGCAGGCGGGGAGUGCUACCGCGGGAGGGCUAGGGAGGGUCCCMGCCGCCCCCAAGUGAAGUGCGUACCCGAAACUCUGSARGAGUUUUGCGAGGCASUGCUCGUUAGGAKUGGAAACCCCGAAUGAAAAAUUAUUUCCAAAGUCCCCAAGACUGAGGACCCUUAUUUUGACCCGAGAGUUUGAGCCCACUUCCGAGUGGGGGACUCGAACACACGAGUUGUGAAUCUAAUCUAACUUAGAACAACUCUCAGCAACGGAUAUCUUGGCUCUUGCAACGAUGAAGAACGCAGCGAAAUGCGAUACGUAGUGUGAAUUGCAGAAUUCCGCGAAUCAUCGAGUUUUUGAACGCAAGUUGCGCCCGAGGCUUGUCCGAGGGCAUUUCCGCUAGAGCGUCACCGCGCCCCCCCCACCACACUCCCCAAGUUUUUGGAGUGUUCUGAGUGGAACUGGCCGUCCCGGGAAUCGGGUCGGCUGAAAUGGAGGGAAUUUUGCCGCCGUGGCAUCACUUGCCCCCGCGAUCAGGUGCGAUCUCGAAAGAGUCUUCCAAGUGCGGGGCUCCCACAGUGAGCCCGAGUGCGUGCCGGAGUUCCACAGCAGGCUACCUUUUACCCCACUUGGGCCAGCAAUGGCCCUUCGGAACGAGAAGGAAAAGAGGUAACGCAUCCGACCUCUAAUCGGAAAAGACCACCCGCCGAGUUAAGCAUAUUAAU